rnacentral:misc_RNA from 1 species
CGAGCGUCCAGUCUCUCGGUCGAAAACCACCCUUGCAUCUAAAACUUUACCAUGUUGACUGAACACUUGUUCCAAGCGGGCAUCAUCAACUUGCCACGGAAGAUUGCCAGCAUAGACCUUAAAAGUAGGUUCGGACUCCUGCGAUCUCUCUGGCCGACUGCCUCUCGGAGCUGCUAUGUUUACAGUCAGAAGUCUGCCACCUACAUCAUAUCGAUGAAACAUCUCCACCGCCUUCUGAGCUUCUUCAACCGAGCUCAUAGUCACAAACCCAAACCCUCGGCUCUGAUCUGUCUCUCUAUUGUAAAUGACCUCGGAGAUUUCAACCACUCCGGCCCGCUCGAACAUCUGCGCCAGCUUCUCGCUG